CCGGUGCUCGUGCUGGUCUGUACGUUAUCGUGUUGUUUGCUGUCACACAGUCGCACACUACAGUAGCUGUGAUUCGCCCACCGAGAUUACCUCUCUCCUCUGUAGCUAGCCAAGAGAGAGGAGCACGCGCAGCGUAGCUGCACACUUCCAAGACGACGGAUUCAGCAACGCUCCAGUCUGCCGUGCCUUCAGCCUUGCGUCCCCCCUCAUGCCCGCCAAGAAUCAACACAAAGGGGGCGGAGACGGCAACCCCGAUCCUACCUCCACACCCGAAGCGGCGUCGACAAAUGUGACAAGCACAAACGACGGUGCCGCCGUCGAUUCUUCCGUGCCACCGUCCGGCGAGACAUACCUCUUUCAUUGCCGCGCCGCCCCGUACUCGAAGCUAUCGUACGCCUUCAAAGGUAUCAUGGCCGUCCUGAUUCUCUGCGCCCUUCGCUCGGCGUACCAGGUUCGCCUGCUCUCCGUUCAGAUUUACGGAUACCUGAUCCACGAGUUCGACCCGUGGUUCAACUACCGCGCUGCCGAGUACAUGUCCACGCACGGCUGGUCCGCCUUCUUCAGCUGGUUCGACUACAUGAGCUGGUACCCGCUGGGCCGCCCUGUUGGCUCCACCACGUACCCGGGCCUGCAGCUCACUGCCGUCGCCAUUCACCGCGCGCUGGCGGCUGCCGGCAUGCCGAUGUCUCUCAACAACGUGUGCGUGCUGAUGCCGGCGUGGUUUGGCGCCAUCGCCACCGCUACUCUGGCUCUCAUAGCAUUCGAAGUGAGCGAAUCCAUCUGUAUGGCGGCGUGGGCCGCACUCUCCUUCUCUAUCAUCCCGGCCCACCUGAUGCGGUCCAUGGCGGGUGAGUUCGACAACGAGUGCAUUGCCGUCGCAGCCAUGCUCCUCACCUUCUACUGCUGGGUGCGCUCGCUGCGCACGCGGUCCUCGUGGCCCAUCGGUGUCCUCACCGGUGUCGCCUACGGCUACAUGGUGGCGGCGUGGGGCGGCUACAUUUUCGUGCUCAACAUGGUUGCCAUGCAUGCCGGCAUAUCAUCGAUGGUGGACUGGGCCCGCAACACGUACAACCCGUCGCUGCUGCGUGCAUACACGCUGUUCUACGUCGUCGGCACCGCCAUCGCCGUGUGCGUGCCGCCAGUGGGGAUGUCGCCCUUCAAGUCGCUGGAGCAGCUGGGUGCACUGCUGGUGCUUGUCUUCCUGUGUGGACUGCAGGCGUGCGAGGUGUUUCGCGCACGCGCCGGUGUCGAGGUUCGCUCUCGCGCGAACUUCAAGAUCCGCGUGCGCGUCUUCAGCGUGAUGGCUGGCGUGGCUGCGCUUGCGAUCGCGGUGCUGGCACCGACGGGGUACUUCGGGCCCCUUUCGGUCCGUGUGCGUGCGCUGUUCGUGGAGCACACGCGCACUGGCAAUCCGCUGGUCGACUCGGUCGCCGAGCACCAUCCUGCCGACGCGCUCGCGUAUCUGAACUAUUUGCACAUCGUUUAUUUUAUGUGGAUAUUCAGCUUCCCGGUGCAGCUCAUCCUGCCGAGCCGAAACCAGUACGCGGUUCUCUUUGUCUUUGUCUACAGCUUCAUGGCCUACUACUUCAGCACCCGCAUGGUGCGCUUGCUCAUUCUGGCUGGCCCGGCGGCGUGCCUCGGCGCAAGUGAGGUAGGUGGAACGCUGAUGGAGUGGUGCUUUCAACAGCUGUUCUGGGACGACGGCAUGCGGACCGCCGAUAUGGUAGCAGCCGGUGACAUGCCUUACCAAAAACAAGACCAUGCCAGUAGAGGUGCAGGUGCCCGACAGAAGCAGCAGAAACAGAAGCCGCGCCAGGUUUUCGCGAGGGACUCCAGCACUAGCAGCGAGGAGCGUCCUUACAGGACACUGAUCCCCGUCGACUUCCGCAGGGACGCGCAAAUGAACCGCUGGUCAGCCGGAAAGACAAACGCCGCCCUCAUCGUGGCUCUCACGAUCGGUGUUCUUUUACCGAUUGCGUUUGUCUUCCACUUCUCGUGCGUCAGCUCAGCGUACUCCUUUGCUGGCCCGCGUAUCGUGUUCCAGACGCAGCUGCGCACCGGCGAGCAAGUGAUAGUGAAGGACUACCUCGAGGCCUACGAGUGGCUGCGCGACAACACGCCAGAGGACGCGCGCAUUUUGGCCUGGUGGGACUACGGCUACCAGAUCACAGGCAUCGGCAACCGCACCUCGCUGGCCGAUGGCAACACCUGGAACCACGAGCACAUCGCCACCAUCGGCAAGAUGCUGACGUCGCCCGUGGCGAAGGCGCACUCGCUGGUGCGCCACAUGGCCGACUACGUCCUAAUCUGGGCUGGGCAGAGCGGUGACCUGAUGAAGUCACCGCACAUGGCGCGCAUCGGCAACAGUGUGUACCACGACAUCUGCCCCCACGACCCGCUGUGCCAGCAAUUUGGCUUUUACAGAAAUGAUUACAGUCGCCCAACACCGAUGAUGCGGGCGUCGCUGCUGUACAACCUGCACGAGGUCGGGAAAACAAAGGGCGUGAAGGUGGACCCGUCUCUCUUUCAGGAGGUGUACUCGUCCAAGUACGGCCUGGUGCGCGUCUUCAAGGUCAUGAACGUGAGCGAGGAGAGCAAGGAGUGGGUUGCUGACCCGGCAAACCGCGUGUGCCACCCGCCUGGGUCGUGGAUCUGCCCCGGGCAGUACCCGCCGGCGAAGGAGAUCCAGGAGAUGCUGGCACACCGCGUCCCCUUCGAUCAGGUGGGCAAGGACAAGAAGGACAAGGAGGCGUACCACAAGGCGUACAUGGAACGCAGCAGAACGCUGGGUGAAGUUUAGAGGGGCAGACAAGCAAACAUGGCUUCUUCGUAUACGCACGCCCAUCUUCUUUGUAAGGGCCCAUUUGGGUCCCGUGCAACAGGAGUCGAGCCCCCCUUUACCUCCGGCCUUCCACAGGCCCCAUCGCGCGGUGCUGCAAAGCACGGGAGACACUCGUUACAGUGAUGUGCCGGCCCAACCAUGGGAACGCGGCCUCUGGCCCAAACUAUACCCGGCCCCCGCAUCACAAGUCGCGUCACAGCCGCUCCCAUUACGCCGGUCGCCACACCCGGUGCACCCCCCUCACGGUGCCCCGCACCAGCAGGCAGUGUGAGGGCCGGGGGUGGGAUGCGCUCGAGUCAGGCUGAAGCUUAACCUAUUAUAUGAAUGCUAGAAUUGUGUUUACUGACGCAUGUCGCUCCGAUGCCACGCCGUCUAGGGCCUGGCCAGCCGACAUCAGCAGCGAUAGAUCACACCGGCCUCCCCCCUUUUGGGUCAUAGGUUCUUGAUCCUGUCACCAUCAUAGGUGCUUCGGCAUCGACAGAGGGGAUAGGGAGGGGCUGCUUGGCGUCCCCACACACAGAGUGAGGGCGCUGGACCCUGUGAUGCCACGUAAUGAAGUAUCCCCCGUCAUGAGGUUGCACACGCCCAUGCAUGGGGCAAAGAAACGCUCAAAAGAGAGGUCUAUGUGCUCGUCUUCACCUGCCCCCGCCUUCGCCCUCUCUCUCCCUCUGCCAUGGGCUUCCUCUUUCUUGCCUUUGUGUGUGUGUGUGUGUGUGUGUGUAUUGUUGUUGUUCCCUGUUGGUUCGCAUGGAAUGAUAG
rnacentral:misc_RNA from 1 species